rnacentral:rRNA from 1 species
UACAGAGGGUGCGAGCGUUGUCCGGAAUCACUGGGCGUAAAGGGCGCGUAGGCGGCCUGGUAAGCGUGCGGUGAAAGCCCGGGGCUCAACCCCGGGUCGGCCGUGCGAACUGCGAGGCUGGAGCACUGUAGAGGCAGGUGGAAUUCCGGGUGUAGCGGUGGAAUGCGUAGAGAUCCGGAAGAACACCGGUUGCGAAGGCGGCCUGCUGGGCAGUGGCUGACGCUGAGACACGAAAGCCAGGGGAGCGAACGGG